AAAUUAGAGAACAUGAUGUUGGUUCAGAUCAAAUGCUAUGUAGAGGCAUAACACAUGCAAGUUAUUGAAAAAUAGCGUUUAGGUGAGUGAUAUAAGAUAUAAAAAAUAUCUUAUUCAGAUGUAGGUAUUAGAUAUUAAUCUAGCCAUGGAACUGGAGCCGGCGAUAAACGUCACAACGGCCACAUUGAUAUAUUAUCAACUCUUAUAUAGAGCAGCAGUGGGGAAUCUUUGACAAUGGUCUAACGACUGAUCAAGUUAUCUACGAGAAGGAAAUUAAAUAAAUCCUUAUGGAUAAAAAAUAAUAAAAGAUUAACUAUAAACUUCUAAAUAAUAGUAAUAAUGAUACUAAUUAUGAAAGAGUCCUAACUAAAAUAUGUGCCAGCAGCUGCGGUGUGCGACAAGAAGCUAUUCUUUGCAAUUUGAAAUCAUAAAAUUAUCCCCGCGACGCGGGGAUGAUAGCCCGCUUAUAUAAGCGGGCCAUUUAACAGAUAUUUAUAUCUAUAUUUAUGAUAUUUCAACAAUAUUAGUAACAAAUAUGUACCUAUUUACACAUGCGUUGGGAGUGAUCCCGGGGUGUGAAGCUGUAGAGAAAAAUGUAACCAAAAACUAUGAUCACGUAGUCAAGGAGCUAGGUAAGUUUACUAAGGUUAGCGCAAGUUAACCACUCGACGAGAUCUCUUUAGGCUAAACCUUCAACUGUGAUUGUAAAAAGAAGGGAUUGUCAGGAGUCUGGAUAGAAUCAUCGCAUGUCUAUCCUGUUACAGGCGUUAAAACUGACAGGGAUAAAGAGUGGAACCUAAGGUAAAUGUAGUGUAAAGAAUGGAACUUGGUAAGCCUCAUAUUCACUAUUUAGGAGAGUCCUAUAAUAUACCCGCAAAGCGGGUUAUUAACAAGGCAACUUGUAAAUAGAGGUUAUUUAUAAAAUAGGGUCUCCCAGGCCUUGUGGAAGGAAUAAUAUCGAAUAGGAGGUAGAAGACUUCUUAAAAAGCUAAUGCAAUAAUGUAAUGUUAUUGAUAAGUUAUAUAACUAACCUGAAAGGGUGCAGACUUAAGAUAUGGGUGUUAUAACUAUUAAUUAAAUAUAUUAGAUGUAGUAAACGUUAAUGAUAAUAAUAAAAUAACUUCAUAAAAAGAGGUAUUUUUAUUAACUAUGAAAAAUGUACGUAAAAUAAGGGAGCUAAAACUCUCGGAGUGAAUGGUAUAUAAUUAUUAAAUCACCUAAGGUGAUUAUCCCUUUGGAUGAUAAACCUAUAUUAACGAAUAUAAACUAAUAUAAAAUGAGCCCGGCAUUGCCGGGCUUAUCCCCGCCUUCGGCGGGAAUUAAAAAAGAAAUAAUAAGGCCUGAGCCGUAUGCGAUGAAAGUCGCACGUACGGUUCUAAGGGGGGGAAAGCUCGUGAGAGCCUACCUAUCCUAAUUAGACAUAGAGGGCAAGCAUUGAUCAGAAUGGCUUAAAGGAUCUGUAGAACGAAUUUUUAAAUAAUAAAAAUAUAGAAUAAUAAUCUCGCGAAGCGGGUAAAGGUAAUAAGAAUUAAAGUUAGAGGGAUAAAAUCCGACGAAAACAUUAAGACUAUAAAGAGAUUACUUUAAAUUAUUGACGUUGUGAGAUGAAGGCUACGGUAGCGACAUGGAUUCGAUACCCAUUUAGUCGUAGCAGUAAACUAUGAGUACAAUAAUUAUAAAAAUGAAAAUGAAUAGUACUCCGCCUGACUAGUACGCUCGCAAGGGUGAAAUACAAGACAUUAGACGGUUGUAGUCCCAAGCAGUGGAACAUGUCAUUUAAUUGGAUGAUCCUCCAAGAACCUUACCAUCUCUUGAAUUAUUAACAGGCGUUACAUCGUUGUCGUCAGUUCAUGCCGUGAGGUUUAAUAUUAAGUUAUUGAAUGAACGUAACCCUUUUCUUUAUAGAUAAGUAUAAUUGUAAAAUUAUAGGAAGUAGAGGUAGAAGACUAAUCAUGAUGACCCUAAUGAGAUGGGCUAUCGACGUGUUACAAUAUUAAUAACAAUUUUAUUAACUUUGUUAAUGUAUAUAUAUAUUUUUUCUAUAUAUUUAUUAAAUAUUAAGAAUAAGACAUAGUUUCUAUUAUGGAUUGUAAUCUGAAAUUCGGUUACAUAAAGGAGGAAUUGCUAGUAAUCGUAAACUAGAGAGUUACGGUGAAAUUUUUUGCUACUUCGUACUAACCACUCAUCAACAGCAAGAAAUUUUAUUUCCCUUAUUGAGUUUUUAUUAAAAGGACUUGCUGUAAGUUGAAAUACGGUUCGGUUAGGGGAACCUGAUCGGGAUUUAUAUAUUUA
rnacentral:rRNA from 1 species